CUCUCCUCCUCCCGUCGAAGACCCAACGCGUGGUCGAUGUUGCCACUCGCCCCUCUCCUUCUCCCGCGUCUUCGACCCCGCCCUCGCGAUCUCCCGAUGCUCUGUCGAGUGGAGAAGAGGGGUGCGGCAGAGAAGGAGACCGGAGGAUGGCGAUGGGGGAAGGAGCAGCAGGGUUGGAGCACCCUGGCCAUCGUCCCCAUCCCCAAUGCCUCCCCCGCUUCCUCCGCACCUCGCCCCGUUCCCCUCCUUCCCUGCUCUCCACUACGCCUCCUCCUCUCCUUCAGUUUUCUCUUCGGCGACGCUGCCAAAGAAAGUGCACACGGGCGGUGGAUCCGUGCCGGAGAAGGGCGGCGGCGACUGCGCUCCGGUCGUGGUGGGGUGCAGCCGCCGGGAAGAUAAAGGUGAGGACUUGUUGGUGAGCUGCUACUACAUCGAAUGCGACAUGAACGAGUUCGUAAUAUUGCCAGCGCAGUCUCUCAUGUUCCUACUCCACAGCUGUAUUCCAACACCCCUUCAGACUUCGAUUUCAAGCUUGAAAGUCUAGCACAAGAAUUCGGCUCCCUGUCUGAAUUCGCGGAGCAUCUUGCUGCCAACGUUGACAUUGUCUUCCCGGUGAUACAUGGGAAAUUUUGUGAAGGUGAUGGUAUUCAGGUUCGAAGUUACCAACGAAUAUUAAAUAUGCUUUACAUGCAAGAGCAAAUUAUGCUGGUGCCACAGUGCAUGCUUGCAGGUAUUAGUGCGCUUGAUUUGGCACGAACUGGCAUGUAAUGCUGAAUGUGUCUUGGUUCUUUUAUAAGAAUCCCACAUUGUUGCUGCUUUCUGUUGAUGAUAAGACGCUAACACCUACCAAAUGGCUGCGCUCCGGUCAUGGUGGGGUGCAGCCGCCGGGAAGAUAAAGUAGGUCUGCUGCCCGUCUCCGCCUCUCACCGCGCCCUUGCUGCCUCCAUGGCCAAGCGCACGUUUUUUUUCUCUGUCCCUCCAUGGCGCUCGUUACCGGCGGGAUACAUUUGACACUAUCUUCAAAUCCAGUUUAUUUGACAUGUGUUUGAAAUGUAUAUUUAGCAUAAAGAUAAUACUGCAUUUCCUUAGGGACCUUAGUUUUGGCUCUGUUCUUGCUCAUAUUAUAAGUAAAAUAUUAAUACUUUGUGUCUCCGGCCAGUUCUUGAUCAAAGGAAGAUGCAUUAACAAUUCGUGUCUCCAACCGGUUUAGAUCAUAGGAAACUAUGGCAUAAUGCACUGCUGAAUUUUCUUGUUAGUGCUCACUGACAAUAUUUGUUCUCAUGUACGGUAAUGCCUUCCGGUUAAACUAGGAAUUAGUUCAUUAUUGAAAGGUUCAAUCUGCAUUUUUUUUGCUUCAUUCAUUUUUGUUCUAUUUAUUUUGAAUAGAAAACCAUCUUUGGUAUGCUUAGAUAGGGCUUAUUUAAUACAGUACAAGCAAAAUUGGAAGUAAUAGCAAACCAGCCAUGAAAAGUUUGAGAGACCAUGCAAACCACAAGAAAUGAUGUGCUCCUGUUAUUUUGCCAUGAUCUUGUGGCCCAAUUCCAAGGCUCUAUCAACUAAUGUUAGCUACUUGCUUCUUUAGAUGCCUUAAUUAGAGCCAGCAAGGAAGAUGGCUCGGCCCUGCCACCGAUGCCCACCGGCCACUUCCGUCAGGCUCCGUCGUGGGAGGGGGCGCACCAUUUUUGGGUGUUCCUUCCUACAGCUAUCUUGACCAUUUGCUCUGGAAGGAGUAAUUCAACUCAGGAAGAACAAAUAAUUUGAGACUUUUUGUCUUUCCUACGAUCUGUUCAGGAACUGUAUCACAACAGAUCAUUGGCAUUGUAGCUUCAGUGGACAUGUAUGCUGAAUAUCCCCUCACUGGACAAGAUUGGAUUUUAGUGUAUACAAGCCCUCCUCUCAGCUGCUAAGGCAUAAACACCUUACUGCAAAUGUUCUUCGUGUCUCGCCUCCCCGUCGUGAUGGGUGGCUCCUACAGCUUCGCCAUGCCAACCAUCUCCAUCAUCUUGGCUGGACGCUACGACAUGUGGGAGAUCCUCACGAGUUUAACACAUAUUGGAGGGUGGGAGGAUAUACCGGUGCAAUGGAUGAACCAAGACUACCAAGAGGUCAAUUGCGUGAGUAUAUGCCAACUAUCUGAUACAUAUGGCAUGAGACUGACGCCCCUUAGUUCCUCCCUGAAUGUUUGCUUGUUGACUGUCAGGUCUUCUUUCAUCGGAAAUUGUUGUGCACUGAUAAUUUUGUUAGUUCUCACCCUCCUAUUCAAACAGAAUUCAAGCAUAUUACGUGAUGUAUGUAUAUAAGAAGCUUAGUCGUGUGUCAGGCUUUGCAAAUAAAACUUAGAGCUCAAGUAGUUCAGAAUCAUACUGAAUAUCGCUUAUCAUGUAUCUAUAAUAACAAGCAUAACUGACUAUGAUUUUUUUUAGGAUAUUAUUUUCAGAUUUAAGGAAAGGAAACCUGGCAGAGUUUCAGGGAAGUGGAGUGAGUUCCCUAUUUACAUUUAAAUUGUACUCCCUUCCUUCUUGAAAAGAAGGCAUAUCAGUUUUGGUCAAAGUCAAACAAUGUAUUGGUUUGCUCUUUUGCUACAUGUUCUUAAAUUAUUGCAUGAUGCAUCUCUAGGCGGUGAGACCAGAAGCUGGGUGAUCAAAGCAACUACAUGAUGCAUCUCUGUCUAUGUAGCUGCUUACCAUAAGCUGGGUGAUCAAAGCAAUCUACAUGAUGCAUCUCUGUCUAUGUAGCUUUACUUAGCAUAAACUGAUCUUAAUGACUUUGUUUAAACCUAUGAGCCUACCAUCUAUGUAGCUUCAUACCAUCUGUAUAAUGUGUCCCUUCCUAUCUACUUCCCUUGUGUAUCACAUUGUAACGAAGCAUUUAUGUACCAGCAGUAAAGACUUGGGUGUCUGAAUAUUCUUACAA